GAUGAAGAACGCAGCGAAAUGCGAUAAGUAAUGUGAAUUGCAGAAUUCAGUGAAUCAUCGAAUCUUUGAACGCACAUUGCGCCCGCCAGUAUUCUGGCGGGCAUGCCUGUUCGAGCGUCAUUUCAACCCUCAAGUCCCCUGUGGACUUGGCGUUGGGGACCGGCGACGUCACCCCCCCUCCUGCUCCCGCUGUUCUGCAGUGGGCGUUUCUGGGGGGGGGGCGAGUCGCCGCCCCCUAAAUGAAUUGGCGGCCUCGUCGCGGCCCUCCUCUGCGUAGUAGCACACACCUCGCAACAGGAGCCCGGCGCAUGGCCACUGCCGUAAAACCCCCCAACUUUUUGACAGAGUUGACCUCGAAUCAGGUAGGAAUACCCGCUGAACUUAAGCAUAUCAAUAAGCGGAGGA
rnacentral:misc_RNA from 1 species